UGUACAAAGGGCUAUAUAAAUACAUUUGAUUUGAUUUGAUGAGGUGACCAAGAUCAGAGUGAUUUUCAGGCUGAAUUGAUGGGAAAUCCAUUUUGAUGACAACUGUGAAGUGAUCCGAUAUCAUCGAUUUCUUUCCUUCACAAAAAAAUGGAAGAUUAUUGAUUAGAGGUAACCUAACAUUAGCUUGUUUGCUAGCCUAGUUGGACAAGCUAGGUCAUUUAGCUAGCUACCUAACAUUACAGUCCUGCAUUGAACUCUGAAAGCCAUUACCUAAAUCAUUUAGAUAUAUUUUUGGUAUAUACACUGUCAAUCAAUUUCGCCUGGUAGUCUCUGCUAGACUGGUAGCUACUGUACCUUAGACAGAGUAAAGAUGUUUCUUAGUGCAUUCUUUGACUGAUGUUAGCUAAUGUAAGAAAGCUAACUUUAGCAAAUAAGAGCAGUUCAAUCUGGUAAAUUAGCCAUCUUUUCCACCCUUGUCUGGGAAACAAACAAAAUAGAAUUGUCAAUACAGUUAAAUCACUCUGUGUGUGUUGGUAACAAUGAUAAAUGUUUAUAAAUCCUUUAUGGUUGGUUAGUUGGUUCUCAGCCAGUCUCAUUUGGAUAUUAAUCUUGCUGCCAAUUUAGUGAUGCUAGUUAUAUUGUCAGCUUGCUGUUGGCUUACAAUAUCCAUGUUAGGUAUGCUAUGCUAGCCAGUCUAAUAGAGAUCAAUCAAAAAUGGGGUGGUUGAAUUGUGUAUUGUUGUGUAUUUUGUUGUAGGUGGUACAGAAUCCAAUUACACCAACAUGCACUUCCAACUCCACAAGGUGAAGGUUACCUGGAGUCAUUCCACAGUGCCCUGCUGAAAAAUACCCUGAUGGGGCAGCAUUUUGGGUACACAAAGUGCUGUUAUGGAGGUUAUGGAGCACAGCAAGAUUGUGGUACAGAUACCAGCAGGGACACCGAAAGGAGACAUGCAGUACCAGCAAAUCUUCUGCAAGAGGACCAAACAGUUGUUGGUUAAGAAUCCCGACACCAUUUUUGGCAGAGUCUUAUCCAGCUGGCCGUUCACCGCAGGCAGGACAAGACCAUUCGCCAUAUGCAAAAAUAAUCUUAGCUUCACCAGCCCACCAUGCCGAACAGCAUUGCCAGUGUACCAAAGCCGGAUAAUGGACUAUGGCUGCAUUUACACAGCCAGACCAAUUCUGGUCUUUAUUUUUUUUCUUGACAAAAUGGUCUUUUGACUCAUCAGAAUAGUUCUGAAAAAGAACUGAUGUGAUUUGACCAAUUAAUGGAAUUGGGCUGCCUGUGUAAACAAAGCCAGUGUGGCUCAGCGUAAGACCAUGUAGAACAGCGGUCUCCAAGCCUGUUCCUAGAGAGCUACCCUCCUGUAGGUUUUCGCUCCAACCCCCGUUGUAACUAACCUGUUUCAGUCCAUCAACAAGCUAAUUACUAGAAUCCGGCGUGCUAGAUUAGGGUUGGAGUAAAACCUACAGAACGGUAGAAGGGUAACAGUAACAGGGUUGUAGAGCCCUGAUGUAGAACCACAAUUAAAUAAAUAUGGACAUUUUCUAUGCAUUCAAAAUGUGUCUGCAUUUGUGGAUCAAUAAAAUAUAUUUAUAUAAGCUGUACAUGGCUCUGUAGCAUCAAACAGAUGCUAAACAUUCAGAUAUCCAAGCAAUGUUUAUUUUUCAAAAUCUAAAAUACAGGGGAGUGUACCCUACUUAAUGCAAACUCAAGAUAACUGGAUAUUCAACAAGAAUGUU